ensembl:lncRNA
CUGGAGUUGCAGUCCCGCGUGGCUGAGGGGCCGGGCCGCGGGGCCGCCGGGGAGUUACACCAGUGCGUGGCUGAGGCACGGAAGACAGAGAUGAUUCCGGGGUGGCUCCUUUGAACCGCUGCCUACUGGGCUUCAGCAGAGAGAACAGACCCACCCUAGAGGAGCAGCACUCACCUUUAGGUGAGCAAGGAGACAUGUGCCAGAAGAGCACCAUCCCUGCCUCACCUGAGAGCAGACCUGUGCCAGAGGAGCAGUGUCUGACCCUACAUGAGCAAGCACACCUGCUCCAGAGGAGUGGCUCUCACCAGCAGGGGAGCAAGAAGUCCUGUAUUGGUCAAGCAGCACCCCUCCCUGGGGGAGCAUGUCACAAGGAAUCAGGAGGCAAGGAACAACCAACCAACCUGAUCCUGGACAGCACAAUACCAGAGAGAGAAGGGAACCACCAGAUUCUCUGACAAAGGACAUUAAAUCUAACAGCCCACAUGAACCCCUGGCCUGUGGCCUAUACCUGGCAGAGACAAGUGGGCUGAAAACUAGUAUGGAGAUUCCUCACAAAACUGAAACUAGAAAUUCUACUUGAUCCAGCUAUUCCCCUUCCAAAUAUCUUCACAAAAGAGUUAAAGACAUUACAGUGAUCCAUGCAGACCCAUGUAUAUAGCAACACAAUUCAUAAUAGCUAAACAUUGGAAGCAGCCCAUAUGUCCAUCAACAGAAGAAUAGAUAAAUUAAGUGUGGUUUUUAAACACAAUUGAGUACUACUCUACCAUAAGGAAUGAUAAACUUGAGUCAUUUGUAAAAAGAAAUUAAAGCAUCUUGAGACCAUAAUGUUCAGUGAAAUAAAUCAGACACAUAAGCUUAAAUAUCACAUGGAGGUUUUUUUUGUAUGAGAAACCCAAAGUAUAGAUAAAGAGCAAAAUAAAGAUAGAUGAUAGGAAGAAGAGGGAUAAAUCUUUCUAAACAGGGAAAAGAUCAAAAGGUGGAGAGGGUGGGGGUGGGAGGAGAGGGAAAGGGGAUGAUACAAAGGAAGUGUAAGAUGUGUUAUGUACCCGUACCAAUUGCUCCCCAGGUCUGUAAACUUUAUGUAUUACCAACAUGUACUAAUGAAAAUAAAUAAUAAACCAAAGGUAAAUACAAACCUUGAGACCCAUUCUGGAAAGAGCAGGCUGAUGUGGGUGAGAGAACAGAGAUGGAAAGAAAAAAAACUAACCAAAGGCUUAGAUUGUGAAGAUGCUUAUUUUUUCUGCUAUUUUGUGGAUGGAAAAGUUUUCUGGUGCCCUCUUGAGUUAUUGUCUCUAAUUGAUUACUUCCAGAAACAUAUGAUUUAAUUUUUAUUUAUUAUAAUAGUAAAACAUAAAGCCACAAAAAGCCAAAAGUAACAAGAAUGUCAAAAGUGUCUCCAUAUCACCUCCAGGUGUUGUCAUAUUCCCAUCCUCCCCCUCUGUGAUUCUCUUGCUUUGCUUUGUUUUGUUGCUUAGUUUGGCAAAUGCAAGACUAAGGCAUGAAGCACCACCCUCAACUCCAUCCUCCAGGUGUUUCUUAAGCAUCCGCAUAUUGGGGAAGACCUGGUCGCAGCCCAUGCACCUAAAGCCACUGUACAGGUCCUCCAGCCCUGAAUCCCAGGCCAGAUUCUCAGCCUCUUCCCUUUCCUCUUGGCCUUCCCCGUGCAGGCCAUUUUCACUGUCAGUUAGGACGUCUCUUAGGCACACAGAAGAGAGGCUGGCUUUUGAAGGGAUCUUCUCAGGAAAGGUCAUUCUUGCUAUUCUUGUCAUCUUUGCGGGGGGCUCCAAAUCAUCUUCUGUAUCCCCCAAGGAAGCCGUACCCCUUUUCAUUGGGACAGGCUUAUAGUAGACAUUCAGGACUCUUUUCUUUUCAGUAGAUGUUGCAGACUCUAAGGGGUUAUUGGCCAAGGAGGAAGGUAAAUGAGAAUGUGCCAUGGAGGAGAAAGUCUCCUUCUCCAUCAAAUCUUGAUUUAAAAGCCUCUUGCAGGAUUCAGGACCUGGAACAUAUUGAGGUAGUAUGUUGGUAUUUGGAAAAGAAAGCUUAUCAAAAAUAAUGAGAUAAGAUGGCCAUGAAAAUGUCCUGGGGUGGGGUCAUAUUUUGUGUGUGGUUUGUGUCAUGUAAUGUACAUACUUUGUAAUCCUAUGUGAAAAAUGAGUUGUGUAAGGCAACUACUAUAAAUUAUAUAUGUACAUACACACCCGUAUAUAGACAUGUAUGUGUAUGUGUGUAUACAUAUACAGAGUCUGCCAAAAAAUGUAUACACACUUCAGGAAAAGAAAAAUAGUAUGUUUUUCAAGUACCCAAAUAUGGGGCACCAUUGAGGAUGCUGUAGAUUUCAGGAAAUCCACUACAUUGUCAGCUCUUAGGGAAGAAAUUGAAAACAAGUAUGUAGCAAUCUCAAUGACCAAGGUCACCCAAGCAGCAGUUCACCGCUAAUGGGCUCAACUUUGAGCACCUCUUGUAAUUGUAGUGCCCAAAGAUAACUUGCAUUAAUCUCAUUAUAUCUCAAUAAAUGCAGUAUUAAAAUAUUUAUACAAGUUUUUCUUUUCCUGAAGUGUGUAUACAUUUUUGGGGCGGAAUCUGUGCAUGUAUGUAUACGUACAUAUAUUCUGGUAUACCUUUGGUGACUGUCUGGUACUGGCAAAAGCAGAUAGUGAUGUGUCUGUGUGUGUGUGUGUGUGUGUGUGUGUGUGUGUGUGUGUGUGUCUGAUACUGUGUGAGAUAGCACAUGUGAUUUCACUGUGAAUAUUGGUAGAUGGUGUGACAAUAGCCUUACAUGUUGGAGGAAGUGUUUAUGACCUCAGCACAUGCAGCUCUGUGAAGGGCUGAAGGCGAGGUGGAAGAAGUGACUUUUGUGUGAGAACAUAUACAUAUUAGAAGGGCACAAGAGUUUUCUAGUAUUUUGUCUACUAGUAGCAUUAUGAAAUUAAAACAGGUUAUCCAUGUGAGGUAAUAGUUUAUCUGUGUGAGGUGAUAUGAAGUUAUUUACAGGAUUAAGGUGUAAAAUGGUGGGUGAGUCUGAGAAUGACUUCUGGAAUGUGAGCAUAAGGCUGUACCUAUGUAACACUGAUACUGGGAAAAUAGGGAGAGAGGAGAUAUUUAUGAGAAAGAUAAAAAGGAGGAGAAAUGGUCUGUAUUUAGUACAAAGGAGUGUGACAUGUGAGUGUGAGGUGAGUUUAUACAGUGAUCUGAGGGGGAAGACUCUGCUUCCACCUCCUGCACAUCACAUAGGCCACUGCCUCACCCACAGUGGCCGCAGUGUUCACAUGAAAAUGUGUGCUGAGGAACUCUGUCCUCCUCUAGAAGGCAGAUUUCCUAUCUGCCCCUCCUCAGAGGAGUCAGUGUUCAUCCCUCUUCCCUGAAGACCUUUCGUGAAUGCACUCACUUGAAGAAGAGACGCACGACAAAUGUUCUGAGACUGAGAAAUUCUCUCCUGCAUCCAGAUUUGAACUUGGGACCAUCUCAUGUGUCUCAGUGGUAUCCUCUGGAGAGUUGUGCAGUUCUGAAGUGGAAGAAAACAGCAGCAACAAAGUUAUUGAUACAUAGCAUAGUCUGGGUCUGUGUCAUUUUAAAACAUAUAUGGAGUAGAUAUUUUGUUUCUGCCAUUGUUACCACCCAUGGUAAUUCCUCACACAAAAUUAAAGAGAACUUAUUAAAAUUAUGUAUGUGGUGGGUAUCACUGGGAUUGGGUAUCUUCUAUAUAUUUUUAGAGAUGUAUACAGGAUAUUGGGAACUCAAAUAUGUUUAAAAUAUGAUAUACAUUCACUAGUGGUUAGAUAUUAUUACUAUUGCUAUUUUUAUUGGCUCAAUUUCCUGGUAAUAAAUUGUGCCAGUGAAAGCUGUGGAGUAUAAGUUUCAUGAGGAAUUGUGAAUGUUGACUCAUUUAUUUUGGUGAAUGUAGAGUCAUAUACAUGGAAGGGUUGAUGUGAAUAUGAAUAAAAGAUGGACCUGCAUGCAAAGAUACAAACUGUUAGAUGGUUCUCUAGGAACUGGGCAUGGCACAGCUAAGCAUUCAAAUGAAGACUUUACAGACUUGAUCCCAAUUCGUCUUUCAGAAAUGUGCUUCCACAUUUCUAUUGGAUCUUUAACCUUCUGAUAUAGGAGGUAGAAUGUGGCAAACUGACUAGAGAAGUGGGAGGGACCUGUAAAUCACAAGACUCCAGGGCAGUGCCAGAUGAUUCCUGGACCCCAUAUGUAGAACUUCCUAUGAGCUCCACAAGAUAUGGACAUCAUGAGGAAGACCAGAAACCGGGAGGAGCUCGCUAUCUUUACUCUUCACAGUAGCCCACCCUGGGUUUCCCAAACCCAGGGUGUAUUUUUAAUUUUUGCUCUUUUUACCUUUUCUUUUUUUUGGCUCAAGUUUGCUCUACAGAGCUAGUUUUUCCCUUACCCCUUCACCCUUCAUUUUUCAAAUAAAUUUUUGGGAGAUAGAAAAAUGAACAUGGUGAGUUUUGGAAACAGAACCUGGGCAGUUUUGGAGAAAAGGGGUCAUUUAUUCAGUUGUUGAACAAACAGGGUCUGCUCCACCUCUGUUCCACCUCAG